rnacentral:lncRNA from 1 species
UGUCAUCAAGUUGCAGUGGACAAGCAAACAAAAAGGCUCGUGCGAACUCGCAAUCAAAGAAAACAUGUUGCUGAGUUUCUCCUUCAGUCGUACAUAGCGGGCACACGUUAGGGACAUCUAUUCUUUUACACCGCAGAGCCAGUGAAUUCAUUAAACCUCGCCACAUAAAGAAUUUGAUUUUUGGAGGGAGUUGGAGCUUCCAAUUACCACUCCAGCCUUCAUGAUGUUGAGUACGGGUACUGUUUUCACCUUCUCUUUUCUUAUACAACUCUCCAUUCCGUCUCAGAGAUAAAGACACAUUGUACCUAGAUUUAACCAUAUACCGGUCCUGUUUAUUCCAAUGCUAAAUCAACUGAUUUGAUCAACCUUAAGUUGAAGUGUGAACGGAAAGUAUGGGGUGUUGGGUUUCAUGGAUCUUCC